CUACGACUAUAUGACGUUGAAUAUACCCGUUCUCGUCUGAUUACGGAAGUUAAGUAACGUCGAGUGGGGUUAGUACUUAGAUGGGUGACCGCUUGGGAAUACCUCAUGCCGUAGGC
rnacentral:rRNA from 15 species